UACCCGCAGCACAAGUGGUGGUCAUUAUUAUUGGGCCUAAAGCGUCCGUAGCUGGCUUGUUAGAUGCCUGGGUAAAUCGAUGCGCUCAACGUAUCGAAUUCCGGGUAGACCGGCAAGCUCGAGACCGGGAGAGGUGUAGGCUACUCGAGGGGUAGGGGUAAAAUCCUGUAAUCCUUCGGGGAGGACCAGUGGCGAAGGCGCUACACUAGAACGGCUCUGACAGUGAGGGACGAAGCCCUGGGGCGCAAGCCGG
rnacentral:rRNA from 1 species